GGAUGGGGCUGGCUAGACAAGUGUCCCAUUCCUUACUCCCUGCUCCAUAUGUGUACCUCCUGAAGGUGAAUACUUGUUGAAGAGGGUAGGCACCCCCAAUAGAGUAAGAUCAUUUCCUCUCUCAAGGGUAUAUGAGUAGCUGUAUGUCCCUGUUAGAACCUCCAAAGAAGCUUUCAAGUGAGGUUGGUGGAGAGCCAUGGUUUGACUCACUGUCUGAGUAUCAUAGUAUGUGCUAGCUGAGAAAUA
rfam:Fukomys damarensis contig149016, whole genome shotgun sequence.